UACGUAGGGGGCAAGCGUUGUCCGGAUUCAUUGGGCGUAAAGAGCGUGUAGGCGGCCAGGUAGGUCGGUUGUGAAAACUGGAGGCUCAACCUUCAGACGUCGACCGAAACCAUCUGGCUAGAGUCCGGGAGAGGAGAGUGGAAUUCCUGGUGUAGCGGUGAAAUGCGCAGAUAUCAGGAAGAACACCCGUGGCGAAAGCGGCUCUCUGGAACGGU
rnacentral:rRNA from 1 species